CUGUGUGUGCGUGUGUGUCUGUGCGUCUGUGCGUCGCUGUUGGCUGCCGAUUCCGCCUACGUCCAAGGCGGCCGCAAGAGUAGAGUACACAGGCACAUCCGCAAAAAAAAAAACGAAUAGCGGCGUCUGCCCUCCCCCCUCCUCACUCUUUCCUGCUGACGCACACACGCGUACACGCGUGCACGCAGUCUCUUCAGUGGUCAGCAAUAUCCCCUCCACCGCCUACUCCACUGCUGCAAAACACAUCGACGCGCCGUCCUCGGAAUAACGGAAAGCGCGGGUCGAUAAGAGGCAGUGCAAAUUUGAGCGCGUGUGUGUAUAUGCGUGGAUCUCUCUUCCUCGCAUGUUUUGCACUCCCCCUGAUCCAUGUCCUCGACUCUUGUGGCCGUGUACGAGCAGGCAUGUAGCGAUGCCGCCGUGCUGCCCAACUCGGCGCUGGCCCGUUGCUUCGCCGCCGCCGAGCAAGCUAUGCCGCUGCGGGUAUUGUCCCUCAGCACGAACCUUAUCGGGCCGCGUGGGCUAGUAGCGCUCUUACCUGUGCUACGCGAGUGUCGGCACACCUUGCACACUCUCGACCUCAGCCACAACAGCCUCGGCAACGCAACCAUUCGGCAGCUGGUGCUGUGCUUUUCAAACGGCUGCUUUUCCGCACUGCGCCGACUGGAGCUGCGCGGCAACCUGCUCACCUAUCAGGGUGGCAAGUGCCUUGUCCACUGGUGUGAGGGGCUGCGCACAGUGAGGCAAACACACGGCACGCGGCUACCCGGCGUUGGUGAGGUGGAGGGCAGAAGCGCUGAUUCCCUCGCGUCCGCCGCGCCAUCUGGCGCGCCAGCGUCGCCUCUUUGCUGCCCUGAGUACUGGUGUGAUGCGGCAGAUGUUCACAUCGACUACAUCGGCAUCGAAGACACCGCCAUGCCGGAGAUGUUGCAGAGGGCUCUCCUUCAGCGAAUCACGGACGCCAUGGCGCGUCGUGAGGCGCGUCGGCUGGGUCACAGCUCGCAGCGACGCAGUCUCAGUUGCGUAGUGACACGCGAGUCGGGUCCCGUGGCAGACACAUCCGGCGCGGCCGACUCUCCACGACAGUUCUCGGCGGAUGCCGAGAGUGUAAAGGUACCUGUCCUUGAUGGCCCCCCGAUCACGGGUACGGCGCACCCCUUCGCACGGAGCCCGGCCGACUUUUUCAUGGACGACAAUGGCGAGCCGCAACACAGCGACGGCAUGAAGGUCGACGCCGCCGUUGGUUUCGAAGCAGUCGCCGUCACAGAGGCUCGUGAGACAGACGUUCCUUGCUUUCUCCAAGAUGAUAUCGGCGUGGAUGUCCUUCAAAAACCUGCCCACGAUUACGCCAGCGCCGAUGACAGCGUUUCAGGUGGGGCGGAGGAGUUGAAGGACGUCAGGGACGGCAACGGCUAUCACAGCGACAACAGCCCCGCUGCCGGGGUCGCUGGCACGCUCUUGAGUGACAACGCAUGUACAGAUCAGCGGUCCUUGGGAAUGCACUGGCGAUCGGGCUCCGUGGCAGAAACGUUGCCCUUUCCAGACCACCCCAUGAAAGAGGGCAGCGGGGCUGAUGCGCGGUGCGCGGUAUCGUGUUUGCGUUCGACAGCGUCGCCGCCCAUGUCCCCCACUUCUGCGGACGGCUUUGCUUUGUACGCCGCCGAGCCUUCAGAAGCAGCAGCAGCACAGCAGCAGCAGCAGCAAGAGGAAGUGGAGCGCUACCCUCCUCCUCCGCUAAAGACUGCCUCGAACAUCUUGGAUGAGUUGGGGCUUGAAGCUGUCGCCGAAACAGCUGGCGGCGGCGGCGGUGGUGGUGGUAUGGAGGAGGAUGUCGAUGCAGUGCCUAUGUGGCUCGAGGAGCUGUAGCGUGCUAUCAAAUGUUUUGGUGUGCGACUCUUGUGUGCAACUCGAGUCGAGCUUGUCUCAGGUGCUGCAAGGUGGUGUGCCUUCUCUGCCGACUACCGUCUUGGCUGCCUUUAAUAGCUGCCUUUCCUUUUUCGCUCCAUACCCCUCCCAACCCGCCCCCGUGUCGGAUCACGUGUACUCACUGACGAUGACCACCGCCGCUGUACAUGUGUUGCACAGCCCACCCACCCAUCCCCCCCCCGCCCUGCCCUGCCCAUCUCGCUGCCUUGUGUAUCGCCUCCUCUUCUGCUUUGUUGGCGCAACGGUUGUGCUCGUUGUCCCCCCUCCCCUCCCUGCAUGUAAAGCGCCCGCACCCGCGCACAUCCUCGUCCUUUUUUCUCGUGACGACCAUGUAUGCUGUUGCCAGCACCACCGCCACAUCCUUUCGUGUUUGCUUCUGCUCUUCGUGUUUAUGUGUGUGUGUGUGUACUGCUCUGUCUG
rnacentral:misc_RNA from 1 species